rnacentral:tRNA from 1 species
UAAAAUAUUUAAAUAUGGCUUCUAACCACAUUACGAAAGGCUGACGCCUUUCUAUUUUAU